CAAUCAAAAAAGAACAGGCUAUGAGCAAUCAAAAAAGAGGAAUUAUACAGCCUCAAAAAAAAUAUACGCAUGAAAUAAUAUUAUUCAUUUGACAAUUAGUCCCAAACUGAGAUAUUUUUCCAUACGAUCUGAGUUUAAAUUUCAACAAUAUUUUUCCAUCCCAUAUAGCACACAGUAUUUAUGUAUGCGUCUCAGAAAGGAAAGAAGCUUAAAUCCCAGUCCCAAUACGGUCAAAACUACAUUGAGAUACAUUUCGUCAAUGAAUCACAGAAGUGUAAGGCAUUAAAUUAUAAAGACUAUAUCCCUCCUUCCCCACCAAAAUGUGGCCACAUUCAGGCUUUGUCAUUUAUAGGAUAUAUAUAUAUCAUAAAUACAACUUCUAGUACAGAAAAUCAACAAUUUACUAAUUUUCCCUCUCAAACAAAUUUUCCACCCUUAUCUAGAAGGUGAGCGGCACAUACAGGUUUCCACAUAUAUGUUUACGAACAACUUUGGCAAUACAUGAUUCUGGAUAUAACGAUGAAGCCAGGCUAAACAUUACACCCUCUGUACAGAACUAUAAGAGUGUUUAGAUCACUAAAGUAGUGAUCUAAACGCUCUUAUAUUUCUUUAGGGAGGGAGUACUUUCUUGUUAGUCAGUUACACAUGGAGAUGGAAUGAGGUCUUCUUUAUAUGAUAUAGUACACUAAAUUUGUUUCUAAAACAACUAAUUUAUUAUGUUAAUCCUCAAAUUUAUGUUGGAACAACAAUUGAUCUGCUGAUGAAGUAGGAUAUUGUAAUUGACAAAGUAAAUUGAUUGCUAAGGGCCCAAGUUUUCAUGUGGUGUCUAAAUACACAUGGUCAAUAGUUCAUUGCCGAGUAGCACCUUUGACAAACUUGUCAGUUGAUUGGAUAGAGUUUGUUUCUCGCUCCAUCUGGCAACUUACAGUGAUGACUGAGAAGAACUCCUGGAUUUGGAGGUUGAUUAGGAAAUGAAGAUAAACCAGUUCUUACCAUUGUUCCCUAAUGCAUGGAAGUUGUUGAAAAUCAAUUAUGCGCUCUCUAUGUAACUGCUUUUACUUUUGGUGGUGUAUACUGAACUGGGUUGAGCUAUUGCACAUUCAUCAGUAAUUUUGUUGUUUUUUGACAAUCAGAUCGUCCCACAUAAGUGCAAGUAUACUGUGUUGUCUACAAAGGUUGAAAUGCGCCUUGCAAAAGCUGAGCCAGUAACUUGGACAUCAUUGGAUUAUACUGGUAAACCAAAGGCUCCUCAAAAGAUAAAUGUACCAGUUGAAUCAGCCCAGAGGCCAUCUUAUCCGUCAUCAAAAUCCAAAAAGGACUGGGAUAAGCUUGAAGCUGAA